AUACGACGUACAUGACAUCGAAAAAUACCAUUUUCGGCCCCACCUAGAAAGUUGAUAUCUUCAUGCACCUAGAAUCUUAAGUAGAGUCCAAUAAGUCAUCGUAGGCCACGUAGCUGAGAAGUUUUGCUGAUUGAAUAAGUGAUGUUCGCUAUGUUCAUUAGUUUUUUAUUAUUUAAUGAAGAUGCACGUGACAAAGACGCGUUAGUCAUCUCUUUCACGGCAGAUGGGGACUCCAUCGAUGCAGCUUGGAAUGAAGUCAAACGAAUCUCUGAGUCGCUACCCAAGCCUAGCAACAGUACUUUCGCACGUUUCUUUCCUACGGAUGCCUGUGACACACCCAUACUCAGAAUGCGCGAAGAAUACCCUCAUAAGGUAUAGGAACACUUCACAUACAUAGAAGCAUAAACUAAUGCAUGGCAGUCAUAUCUAGAAGUGAACCCGGAACCUUCGCCGUCUGUGAUAUCGAAGGCUAUGAGAGGAGGAUAUGUUUAUUUUCCAGGAUCUACACCUAUCGGCCGAAAAUUUACAAUACUUAGGCCGUUAUAUGUUUUAGGGAAUGUA
rnacentral:lncRNA from 1 species